rnacentral:rRNA from 1 species
GGCGAGCGAAACGGGAAGAGCCCAAACCAACAAGCUUGCUUGUUGGGGUUGUAGGACACUCUAUACGGAGUUACAAAGGACGACAUUAGACGAAUCAUCUGGAAAGAUGAAUCAAAGAAGGUAAUAAUCCUGUAGUCGAAAAUGUUGUCUCUCUUGAGUGGAUCCUGAGUACGACGGAGCACGUGAAAUUCCGUCGGAAUCUGGGAGGACCAUCUCCUAAGGCUAAAUACUCUCUAGUGACCGAUAGUGAACCAGUACCGUGAGGGAAAGGUGAAAAGCACCCCGGAAGGGGAGUGAAAUAGAACCUGAAACCGUGUGCUUACAAGUAGUCAGAGCCCGUUAAUGGGUGAUGGCGUGCCUUUUGUAGAAUGAACCGGCGAGUUACGAUUUGAUGCAAGGUUAAGCAGUAAAUGUGGAGCCGUAGCGAAAGCGAGUCUGAAUAGGGCGUUUAGUAUUUGGUCGUAGACCCGAAACCAGGUGAUCUACCCUUGGUCAGGUUGAAGUUCAGGUAACACUGAAUGGAGGACCGAACCGACUUACGUUGAAAAGUGAGCGGAUGAACUGAGGGUAGCGGAGAAAUUCCAAUCGAACCUGGAGAUAGCUGGUUCUCUCCGAAAUAGCUUUAGGGCUAGCCUCAAGUGAUGAUUAUUGGAGGUAGAGCACUGUUUGGACGAGGGGCCCCUCUCGGGUUACCGAAUUCAGACAAACUCCGAAUGCCAAUUAAUUUAACUUGGGAGUCAGAACAUGGGUGAUAAGGUCCGUGUUCGAAAGGGAAACAGCCCAGACCACCAGCUAAGGUCCCAAAAUAUAUGUUAAGUGGAAAAGGAUGUGGCGUUGCCCAGACAACUAGGAUGUUGGCUUAGAAGCAGCCAUCAUUUAAAGAGUGCGUAAUAGCUCACUAGUCGAGUGACACUGCGCCGAAAAUGUACCGGGGCUAAACAUAUUACCGAAGCUGUGGAUUGUCCUUUGGACA